rnacentral:pre_miRNA from 1 species
AGUUUGUUCGGUAGCCAAGGAUGACUUGCCCCCCACAUCCUGUAUAUAGGGUUUUGCUAGGGCCUGGUAUAUAUUAAUGGUUUCAGGCGAGUCAUCCCGGCUAUCUUAGCAGAUUCU